UUGCUUCAGCAGCACGCAUACUGGAACUGGGACAAUACAGAGAAGAUUAGCAUUGUGGUCCAUUCGCAAUGAUAACACACAAAUUCGUAAAACAUUCCAUAUUAGC